AGAGCUGAAGUCACUGGUACAGUAGCUGAUCACUGUAUGAACUGGACAUACAUGGAGGCUGUUCUCAUCGAGUGCCAAUAAAUAUCUCAGACAUUCACUUAAUUCUGCAUUGCUUCAUUCCACAUGCAUACUUUCACACAGCUUUCCUUUUCUUUAUUUCCUUUGUUAUACUCAUAAAGCAAUUACUUCUGUACUUGUCAUAGUAACGUUUAAUGAAUGUAACUAAUAUUUAUGUGAUCUACAAUAUCAUUUUUGAGUAUAAUUUUAAACAGUAAAAAUAAAACACUUACUAUAAAGAUAAGAUGUUAUUUGUUAACCUGCAUGUCAUGUUAAAAUUAACCGCAUCAGAGAACUGUCAACAUGAAAGUGUGUUGUUAAAUUAUUGAAAUAUUAUCUUUAAUUAAUCUCAGAGGAUAUUAAUCUCAUAACUUCAGGAAUGUUGCAAUCACACAGUCUCAGAUCUCUUAAUCUCUUUCUCUCUCUCUCAGAUGUGACCGGCAGCAAUUGACUUGGACGGAACCUUAGAGAGCACAGGAGAACACGGGAUCGCGGACAUCAGGAAACAGAUCUGGAGACAGCAGAACAGUAACACAAAGGGGAACAGUUUCUCACAGGAACCGAAUAUUACACAACAGCGGCGGACGAGCCACAGGCGGCCCGGGACCUGAUGAAGGUGCUUCAGUAUCCCAUGUUGAACUGCAUCAUAUCACCAGGAUGAUAAUCUUCCUCCGGUGUGAAGUGAUCGCUAAGUUACACAGCACUGCGUUUAGGGGCAGUUACACUGCACUUUUCCUUCCAUUCAAAAAUGGAGAAAGCGCUAAUUUUAGCCGUAGCACAGCAUCCUAUUUUAUAUGAUACAUCUUUAAAAGAUUAUAAAAA